rnacentral:pre_miRNA from 1 species
UCCGUCUUAUAUAAAAUUUUUUUAUAAUUAGUAUUUUCAUUGUUGUUAGAUGAUAAAACAUGAUUAAUACUUUAUGCGUGACUUAUCUUUUUAAUUUUUUUCAUAAUUUUUUUAAAUAAGACGGA